CCUACGGGUGGCAGCAGUGAGGAAUAUUGGUCAAUGGACGGAAGUCUGAACCAGCCAUGCCGCGUGCAGGAAGACGGCUCUAUGAGUUGUAAACUGCUUUUGUACAAGGGUAAACCUGAAUACGUGUAUUCAGCUGAAAGUACUGUACGAAUAAGGAUCGGCUAACUCCGUGCCAGCAGCCGCGGUAAUACGGAGGAUCCAAGCGUUAUCCGGAUUUAUUGGGUUUAAAGGGUGCGUAGGCGGAUUGAUAAGUUAGAGGUGAAAUGUCCGAGCUUAACUCGGGAACUGCCUCUAAUACUGGUGGUCUAGAGAGUAGAUGCGGUAGGCGGAAUGUAUGGUGUAGCGGUGAAAUGCUUAGAGAUCAUACAGAACACCGAUUGCGAAGGCAGCUUACCAAUCUAUAUCUGACGUUGAGGCACGAAAGCGUGGGGAGCAAACAGGAUUAGAUACCCCGGUAGUC
rnacentral:rRNA from 1 species